rnacentral:lncRNA from 1 species
UGUGUCAGAUCACGUUUGAGACGCUCACCAGGCGUACAAAGUGUUAGUUCCUUGCAUAGAUCGUGCCCCAGUCCACACACCUUCUCCCUUGCCCUCUCCUGAUUCCAGAGAGAAUCCCAUCUGAAAGAGGCUAUGUAUCCGACUGCAGCAUUCUCCCUCCUCCUCCCUACCCCGCCUCCUCUCUUUCAGAUCAGAGCUUCGGCGAUGGAAAAGCAGCUGUCGGUCCUGGCCGUGUAACCACCCCAGAUUUGCCAGACACACGCUGUCGCUCUGCAUUUCAGGCCAGGUUUUGUGAAUUCUGUAAGCUUCUGUUUUACAUCCUCCAGAAGAAGUUGAGGGAAAGGGGCAACUUGAAGAGGCAAGAAAAUGCUUCAUUCCUGGGGCUUUGUGAAUGGAAGUGCCCGCCAGGGAGUCGGUUGUGGAGCGGACCUUGGAGCAAGCUGACAGG